rnacentral:pre_miRNA from 7 species
UUUCAUCAGGGUAUUGAAAGACCCCCGAAGGGAGACCCUCACUCAAGCCUCAGGACAGCCGCGGACCCAAGAAGACACUGAGACCG